rnacentral:rRNA from 1 species
GACAGAGGGUGCAAACGUUGUUCGGAAUUACUGGGCGUAAAGCGCGUGUAGGCGGCUCUGUAAGUCGGGUGUGAAAUCCCACGGCUCAACCGUGGAAGUGCACUCGAAACUACAGGGCUAGAGUCCUGGAGAGGGAGGUGGAAUGCUUGGUGUAGAGGUGAAAUUCGUAGAUAUCAAGCGGAACACCGGUGGCGAAGGCGGCCUUCUGGACAGUGACUGACGCUGAGACGCGAAAGCGUGGGGAGCAAACAGG